UGUUUCGGCUAGGGGGCCAUCCCGGCUUACCAACCCGAUGCAAACUGCGAAUACCGGAGAAUGUUAUCACGGGAGACACACGGCGGGUGCUAACGUCCGUCGUGAAGAGGGAAACAACCCAGACCGCCAGCUAAGGUCCCAAAGUCAUGGUUAAGUGGGAAACGAUGUGGGAAGGCCCAGACAGCCAGGAUGUUGGCUUAGAAGCAGCCAUCAUUUAAAGAAAGCGUAAUAGCUCACUGGUCGAGUCGGCCUGCGCGGAAGAUGUAACGGGGCUAAACCAUGCACCGAAGCUGCGGCAGCGAACGUAUCACUUAAAGCGAUUCAGCGGGUUACGAUUGACGGAGCGAAGCGACGUCAAAGCGUAUACAAAGUCGAGUCGGUUUAAGGAUACGUUCGUUGGGUAGGGGAGCGUUCUGUAAGCCUGUGAAGGUGGCCUGUGAGGGUUGCUGGAGGUAUCAGAAGUGCGAAUGCUGACAUAAGUAACGAUAAAGCGGGUGAAAAGCCCGCUCGCCGGAAGACCAAGGGUUCCUGUCCAACGUUAAUCGGGGCAGGGUGAGUCGACCCCUAAGGCGAGGCCGAAAGGCGUAGUCGAUGGGAAACAGGUUAAUAUUCCUGUACUUGGUGUUACUGCGAAGGGGGGACGGAGAAGGCUAUGUUGGCCGGGCGACGGUUGUCCCGGUUUAAGCGUGUAGGCUGGUUUUCCAGGCAAAUCCGGAAAAUCAAGGCUGAGGCGUGAUGACGAGGCACUACGGUGCUGAAGCAACAAAUGCCCUGCUUCCAGGAAAAGCCUCUAAGCAUCAGGUAACAUCAAAUCGUACCCCAAACCGACACAGGUGGUCAGGUAGAGAAUACCAAGGCGCUUGAGAGAACUCGGGUGAAGGAACUAGGCAAAAUGGUGCCGUAACUUCGGGAGAAGGCACGCUGACACGUAGGUGAAGUGAUUUACUCA
rnacentral:rRNA from 1 species